AGAGAGACAAGUAUUUAUUUGUGCUUACUCGCUAUUUCUUUUUGGAGAUAUCUGAAUAACAUCCUAAUAUAUCUGAAUAACAUCUGGAUAAGAAGCUCUUAUAUAAGAGACAGAAGAUCCAUCUCAGCAAUGGAGGUUUUUCAUAAGGCGCUGUUUGUGGCCCUGGGCUCAUGUGCCCUCUGCAUGCUGUGCCUAUUCUUGCACACUCUGUGGGGUUGCAUAACACACAGAGGAACACAAAUAUCAAUAGAUGAUAUCGAAUGGGAUGCUGCUUUUGAGCAAGAUCAGGAGGCAACACCAGAUGAGGAGGCAACACCACCAUAAAUACCACCAAAAAGCCUUGGAAUACCACCAUUGAUAUCAGAAGUUAUUCUAAAACUAAAACCUGGGGAUUAGGGC